rnacentral:rRNA from 1 species
GACGAAGGGGGCUAGCGUUGUUCGGAAUUACUGGGCGUAAAGGGCGCGUAGGCGGCCACCGCAAGUCAAUUGUGAAAUCUCCGGGCUUAACUCGGAAAGGUCAACUGAUACUGCGGGGCUAGAGUGCGGAAGGGGCAACUGGAAUUCUCGGUGUAGCGGUGAAAUGCGUAGAUAUCGAGAGGAACACCUGCGGCGAAGGCGGGUUGCUGGGCCGACACUGACGCUGAUGCGCGAAAGCCAGGGGAGCGAACGGG